GACGAACGCUGGCGGCGUGCUUAACACAUGCAAGUCGAACGAUGAACUUGGAGCUUGCUCUGGGGGAUUAGUGGCGAACGGGUGAGUAACACGUGAGUAACCUGCCCUGGACUCUGGGAUAACUUCGAGAAAUCGGAGCUAAUACCGGAUAGGACCUUGCACCGCAUGGUGUGGGGUGGAAAGUUUUUCGGUUUGGGAUGGACUCGCGGCCUAUCGGCUUGUUGGUGAGGUAAUGGCUCACCAAGGCGUCGACGGGUAGCCGGCCUGAGAGGGUGACCGGCCACACUGGGACUGAGACACGGGCCAGACUCCUACGGGAGGCAGCAGUGGGGAAUAUUGCACAAUGGGCGCAAGCCUGAUGCAGCAACGCCGCGUGCGGGAUGACGGCCUUCGGGUUGUAAACCGCUUUUAGUAGGGAAGAAGCCUUCGGGUGACGGUACCUGCAGAAAAAGGACCGGCUAACUACGUGCCAGCAGCCGCCGUAACAC
rnacentral:rRNA from 1 species